UACGUAGGCAGCAAGCGUUGUUCGGAGUUACUGGGCGUAAAGCGUGCGCAGGCGGUUUUGUAAGUUUGUCGUGAAAUCCCCGGGCUUAACCUGGGAAUUGCGAUGAAGACUGCAAGGCUAGAAUCUGGCAGAGGGGGGUAGAAUUCCACGUGUAGCAGUGAAAUGCGUAGAGAUGUGGAGGAACACCGAUGGCGAAGGCAGCCCCCUGGGUCAAGAUUGACGCUCAUGCACGAAAGCGUGGGGAGCAAACAGGAUUACGAAACCCGAGUAGA
rnacentral:rRNA from 1 species